AGGAAUGACAAGCAACUGCGAUUGCUUCAGUAAUGGCGAAUGAACUGGCAACAUACAAGGCUCAGCCUGAAUGGAAUCCAGCUGCAACAGUGUUGCAAUCGGCUUAUGUGUGAUUCAGCAGAUGCUGUGGGUUGAUGGAGCUAGUGGUGAGUCUGGUCAGGCCAUGCACCAAGAAAGUCCCUGGAAUGGGCUACUGUGAAAGGAUACUGUCCUGUAUGGUGCUGAGUGCUGUGGCUUGGCUGGGCUUUGCUGCUGGCAUCCAAGAGUAGAGUUGCUUGGGACUGCAGUUUGAAGUGCAGGGUGUAUCCUCUGCAAGGCAGAACACUGACAUGGAACCGAUAGCGCACAAGUAGAGUGAUUGAAGGAUGCAAAGCACCUUGCAAAGGGGGUUCAACGUCCCUGAAGCCUCAGCAGGAACAGCGGAAGGUGGUGUUGUGGUUAUCUGGUCGCCAUCAGGCAGCUUGCUCCAGUCUGGAUAGGUCUGGCACCACCAGCUGGCUGGCUGUCCUGAGACCAGGGUCCAUUGGACCAAACAUUGGAAUCCAAGCAACCUUGGGCUGGCCCAGAGCUGGCUACUGAGCUCCAUCCCAGAUGUUGGAAUGCAUCAAGUGGCAGUUUGUGGUGACACUCAGCUUGCCUGAGCCUGAGGGCAACAGAUCAGAGAUAUCACUGUGUCAAAAGGUUGUCAUCCCCAAGCGGGGAAAGUCAUUGUUGAGAGCUAUGCCAAACCUGCUGUGUCUGAGGACAUGGCAGUGCAUUGUGCCUUGUAUGUUGAGGCUAUGCCAUGCCGCCUGCUGGACUGCACCAUCUUGAUGGUGGUCCACUGGUGGUGGAAGCUUUGCAGAGAGAGUGCAGUGCAGAUGGCAGUUGAGCUUGGUCUCAGGACCACCUUCUGCCCGUCUUGAAACACGGAUCAAGGAGUCUAUGGAGCAGGCAAAUCUGAUGGUGCUAUCAGCAAAACCACUCGAUGUGGUGAAGGCAACAAACCCAGAUGGUGCACUGGACAAGGAUGAUGCUGUAUCUGUGGCACUGGCAUGUGGAACCUCUGUGCUGGAGCCACAGGAGAGAGCAGUUCUCAGUGUGAAUUCUGCAUGGGACACCAGUCCCAAAGUCCAUUGGACAGGGUUCUGAGUGAAUGCGUGGUCCAUGGGACCCGAAAGGUGGUGAACUAUACUGUGUCAUGGUGAAGCUGUGGGAAACUGCAGUGGAAGCCAGAAGCUGUUCUGACGUGCAAAUUGUGUAGCCUGAGCACAGCAUAGGGGUGAAAGGCCAAUCGAGCCACCUAGUAGC
rnacentral:rRNA from 1 species